rnacentral:rRNA from 1 species
GACGAACGCUGGCGGCGUGCUUAACACAUGCAAGUCGAACGAUGAAGCCUAGCUUGCUAGGUGGAUUAGUGGCGAACGGGUGAGUAAUACGUGAGUAACCUACCUAUAACUCUGGGAUAAGCCCGGGAAACUGGGUCUAAUACCGGAUACGACCAAUCUCCGCAUGGGGUGUUGGUGGAAAGCGUUAUGUAGUGGUUAUAGAUGGGCUCACGGCCUAUCAGCUUGUUGGUGAGGUAACGGCUCACCAAGGCGACGACGGGUAGCCGGCCUGAGAGGGUGACCGGCCACACUGGGACUGAGACACGGCCCAGACUCCUACGGGAGGCAGCAGUGGGGAAUAUUGCACAAUGGGCGCAAGCCUGAUGCAGCGACGCCGCGUGAGGGAUGACGGCCUUCGGGUUGUAAACCUCUGUUAGCAGGGAAGAAGAGAGAUUGACGGUACCUGCAGAGAAAGCGCCGGCUAACUACGUG